rnacentral:rRNA from 1 species
CAAAGCACUAAGAUCUUUUGAUUAAAACUUAAAGAGCAUGGCGGUCACAAAAAAGUUCAGGGGAACUUACCAAGUAAUAGACAACCCACAAGUCACCCUUCUUAAUUUACAGUUUGUAUACCGCCGUCUAAGUACUGCUUAUGGUAGUGCUAAAAUAAAAACUAGAAGGACAGGCCAUGGUGCAGCUAAUAAUUAAGUUUUAGGCGAGUUACAAUAAAUCCUUUUUUUUCCAGAAACUUGUAAAGUUUUAAUGAAGUGGACUUGAAAGUAAAAUUUAAAAGAAAUACAAUUUGAAUUUAUUAUUUUGUGGUGC